rnacentral:rRNA from 1 species
AGAGUUUGAUCCUGGCUCAGGAUGAACGCUGGCGGCAUGCCUAAUACAUGCAAGUCGAACGAGAGGAAGGAAAGCUUGCUUUUCUGAAUCUAGUGGCGAACGGGUGAGUAACACGUAGGUAACCUGCCCAUGUGCCCGGGAUAACUUCUGGAAACGGAUGCUAAAACCGGAUAGGUAGCAGACAAGCAUUUGACUGCUAUUAAAGUGGCCUUGGCCAUGAACAUGGAUGGACCUGCGGUGCAUUAGCUGGUUGGUGAGGUAACGGCCCACCAAGGCGACGAUGCAUAGCCGGCCUGAGAGGGCGGACGGCCACAUUGGGACUGAGACACGGCCCAAACUCCUACGGGAGGCAGCAGUAGGGAAUUUUCGUCAAUGGGGGGAACCCUGAACGAGCAAUGCCGCGUGAGUGAGGAAGGUCUUCGGAUCGUAAAGCUCUGUUGUAAGAGAAAAACGGCACUCAUAGGGAAUGAUGAGUGAGUGAUGGUAUCUUACCAGAAAGUCACGGCUAACUACGUGCCAGCAGCCGCGGUAAUACGUAGGUGGCGAGCGUUAUCCGGAAUGAUUGGGCGUAAAGGGUGCGUAGGUGGCAGAUCAAGUCUGGAGUAAAAGGUAUGGGCUCAACCCGUACUGGCUCUGGAAACUGAUCAGCUAGAGAACAGAAGAGGACGGCGGAACUCCAUGUGUAGCGGUAAAAUGCGUAGAUAUAUGGAAGAACACCGGUGGCGAAGGCGGCCGUCUGGUCUGGAUUCUGACACUGAAGCACGAAAGCGUGGGGAGCAAAUAGGAUUAGAUACCCUAGUAGUCCACGCCGUAAACGAUGAGAACUAGGUGUUGGGGGAAUAACUCAGUGCCGCAGUUAACGCAGUAAGUUCUCCGCCUGGGGAGUAUGCACGCAAGUGUGAAACU